GAUCCUGGCUCAGGAUGAACGCUAGCGACAGGCUUAACACAUGCAAGUCGAGGGGCAGCGGGGAGUAGCAAUACUUCGCCGGCGACCGGCGCACGGGUGAGUAACACGUGUGCAACCAACCCCGUACCGGGAGAUAACCCGCGGAAACGUGGACUAACAUCCCAUAAGACUCUAGAGCCGCAUGGCUUUGGAUUUAAAAUUCCGGUGGUACGGGACGGGCACGCGCGACAUUAGGUAGUUGGCGGGGUAACGGCCCACCAAGCCGACGA
rnacentral:rRNA from 1 species